rnacentral:lncRNA from 1 species
CCGGGCACUCUGGUUCUAAACCUUGGUUCCAUCUGGGUUUUCUGGUUCUGAACCUUGGUUCUUUGGUUCGAAACCAUGGUAACUGGUUCAACAUCCGGGUUGUCUGGUUAAGGCAACCCAACUUCUUGGUUCCAUCUGGGUUGUAUUCUAGAUCAUUCUAAUGUUCCCGUUGAACAUAACAGAAGAUAACCGCAAGUCUCCGAAUAAAAAGGUAAAGUAGGUCAAAGACGCU